UAAAUAUUGCUGCUCUUGCUUUCAUAUCUGUACUUUUACCUUGCAUUCCUGAGAGAUACAGUUUUUGUUAUUUGCCGCAAUCUACUAUUCCCCAAAAUCACUGAUGACAGAAUGAUAAUAAUAUUUGCAAAUAUUUCCCCUUAAGUUCUUAAGUUUUCAGUCAUUAAGAAAGAAAGAAAGAAAGAAAGAAAGAAAGAAGGGAGGGAGGAAAGAAGGGAAGAAAGAAAAUGUUAAAGGUACCAAGGACAUUCUGAGCUUACAGCUGGUUUCAGCAAUUUUCACUUACGCAAGACCCCAUGUUUGUGAAAACAACCCAAGAAUCUUUAAGCAGGAUGUAAUCAACCUCUGAGCUUCUGAGAAACACUGCAAAAAUGACUUCAGCUGCCCAAAAUAAUAAUGUCCUUUACAAGCAGCUCUUCCUAUAUCUAAGGAAGAGCUAACCACAUGUGAGUUUUUGCUGGCUUCUGGGGAACAAGCAAAGAAAAUGACAAAUCCCAUCUACUCCACCCUAAAAUAUACAGUAAGCACCAGAAUCCUGCCGGAAGCUGUGAACCAUUCCAAAAGGUGCUGGAAGUAUCACAGAAGACUUAUAUCCAGAAUAAUUCUGAAUGAGCAAGCGCCAAGCCUGAAAUUGCAGGAAAAAGGGACAUGGAUGGGGACAAAGGCUUAUGAGGAAAGACAGAUGAAACAGAUGAACAGAAAGAACUUCAGUUCUUCCCAGUGUCAUUUAGUAGCUCGAGCAACCCUGAGGAAAUACAUUUUGCCUCACCAUCCAUGAAGACUCUUCACCUGAAUGAGAUCCUGUUACUAGAUCACAGCCAAUUGUUGACCACACCCUGGUUGCAUUUGAUGACCAAGGAGGGUACCUUCCUGGCAACCACAGAGACAGCUCAUCAGGAUGAUAGUGAUCUUAUGCCCACUGGAGCUAAAGAUGAGUCUUUUCCCAGUUUCAUCAAAUGGUAAACAGGUUUUCUCUACCAUCAGCUACUAAUGGUUUAUUGACAGAUGAAACAAAGCAAUAAAAUAUCUAUUGGAACUAACCCUAGCUCCAGAGAAAUGCUGGUUUGUCCUGUAACUGCUGUGAGCACAUUCACUGCUGAUU
rnacentral:lncRNA from 1 species